UACGUAGGUGGCAAGCGUUGUCCGGAUUUACUGGGCGUAAAGAGCGCGCAGGCGGUCGUUCAAGUCGCGUGUGAAAGCCCCCGGCUCAACUGGGGAGGGUCACGCGAUACUGAUCGACUCGAAGGCAGGAGAGGGUAGUGGAAUUCCCGGUGUAGUGGUGAAAUGCGUAGAUAUCGGGAGGAACACCAGUGACGAAGGCGACUACCUGGCCUGUUUCUUGACGCUGAGGCGCGAAAGCUAGGGGAGCAAACGGG
rnacentral:rRNA from 1 species